rnacentral:rRNA from 1 species
GAUGAACGCUGGCGGCGUGCCUAAUACAUGCAAGUCGAGCGAACAGAUGAGGAGCUUGCUCCUCUGACGUUAGCGGCGGACGGGUGAGUAACACGUGGAUAACCUACCUAUAAGACUGGGAUAACUUCGGGAAACCGGAGCUAAUACCGGAUAAUAUAUUGAACCGCAUGGUUCAAUAGUGAAAGACGGUUUUGCUGUCACUUAUAGAUGGAUCCGCGCCGCAUUAGCUAGUUGGUAAGGUAACGGCUUACCAAGGCAACGAUGCGUAGCCGACCUGAGAGGGUGGUCGGCCACACUGGAACUGAGACACGGUCCAGACUCCUACGGGAGGCAGCAGUAGGGAAUCUUCCGCAAAGGGCGAAAGCCUGACGGAGCAACGCCGCGUGAGUGAUGAAGGUCUUCGGAUCGUAAAACUCUGUUAUUAGGGAAGAACAAAUGUGUAAGUAACUAUGCACGUCUUGACGGUACCUAAUCAGAAAGCCACGGCUAACUACGUA